AACGGCCGUACCAUGCUGAAUAUACCGGUUCUAGUUAGAUCACCGAAGUCAAGCAUCAUUGGGUGCGUUUAGUACUUGGGUGGGUGACCACCUUAAACCGCGUGCCGU